AGCAGCCGCGGUAAUUCCAGCUCCAAUAGCGUAUAUUAAAGUUGUUGCAGUUAAAAAGCUCGUAGUUGAAUUUCGGGAUCAAUAUGUUGGUCGUGCCUCGGUACGUACUAGCAUAUUGGUUUCUCCUUUCUGAAGAACCAUGAUGUCAUUUAUUUGGUGUUAUGGGAAAUCAGGACUGUUACUUUGAAAAAAUUAGAGUGUUUAAAGCAGGCAUUAGCUUGAAUACAUUAGCAUGGAAUAAUGAAAUAGGACGUUCGAACCUAUUUUGUUGGUUUUUAGGAUCAACGUAAUGAUUAAUAGGGAUAGUUGGGGGCAUUAGUAUUCAAUUGUCAGAGGUGAAAUUCUUGGAUUUAUUGAAGACUAACUACUGCGAAAGCAUUUGCCAAGGAUGUUUUCAUUAAUC
rnacentral:rRNA from 1 species